GGCGGCGCGAGGCGGCGCGAGGCGGCGCGAGCCGGGCGGAGCCUCGGGUGUGCUCGGACGUCAUAUUACUGCUCCGCGGGAAGGAAAAGCCUGCCCGACUGCCCGACGAAAAAAAUGUUGGCAAAACACCCCCUCCUCAUCGCGCCGAGAAAAAAAAUGGCGGACGAGCGCUAAAUCCACACCAGAAACAAACACGCGCUACAGAGCGAGACGGAGAAGAGGAGCGGGGACCGGCCCGCUCUCUUUUUGGACCCCCCCCUCUCGGUGGAGGAAAAAGGCGCACUUCCACCGCACAGGGAAUCACCCGGGAGGAGAAACCGCUGCUCAACGGUUAUGAGGUUUUAAGCGCCGGAGCCGCCUGUGUGUUGUGAGCUCGGCCUGCGUUGGAGCAUGAGGAAGCCUGCGCCACAGAAAGCCAUAGAAUGGAAAGAAGUCAGAAGGAUCAAGCAAGCCCGGAGCGGACGUCCCUCUCGGGUGCUCUCACAAUACCAAGGUGAGUGAGUUUGGAGUGAUUCUAACAGGUGAAAGUACCCGUGGUUUUACCUCAACCCCAUCAUCCCCAGCACCAUAUUUGCUGAAAAGGUGGAUAAAAGAUGUGGAGCUUUGUGCGUCUUUGCCAUUGUGUGUUCGGGCUCAAAAAACAUGGCUUUGUCAAAUGCAUGAAAAAUAACAUUCAUGAAACUUUCUAUCACCCCAAAAUGCGAAGGCAGUUGUUACGUGAUACAUUAGGGGUGUAAAGAUUCAUUUUAACAACGAUUCGACGAUCGGUUAAUUUAGUUGAGUUCGAUUUGAUUCGGUGACUUGAAAUCGAUUCAGUAACUUUACUGGACAGUGCAGGCAAAGUUUCUGAGAUCUCUGUUGUUUCUUGAAAGGAAAUCAGGUUUAAAUUAAUUAUGGAUAUUAUAAACAAGCAAACAACA
ensembl:lncRNA